GUGGGAACUGGGAUUUUCCACUGCCCAUCACCAUCACACUCUACACCGCCCUUCAGUCUCCUGCAGGGAAAAGUACCCAGAUUUCCUAUCAGGAUCCAAACAAACCCACGGAGGAGGAUCUCCAGCUACUGCUGUCCACACCGCAGUGAAGGCAUGGCGCCUUGGCCCCCCAGAUCUGUGGUCCUUAGAGGGACAGCUCGAAAUCAAAAAGUACCUGGAAACCAUGGUUUGCAAGUUGAAAUCUGGAGAUUCCUCCUGCGAGAUUAUAGAGAGCAGUUUUGACAUCACGGAACACUGAAAUUUAUAAAUGAGGUGAUUUGGUUGCCUGACAUCUACUGGAGACUAACCAUGUGUCCCAGAAAGACGAUGAACUUGAGGGAGGAGGAGUUGAGAUGGCAAGAGGGUGAAAGGUAACCAUAAGAUUCACUCUGUCCUCUUCCCUUCAAUG
rnacentral:lncRNA from 1 species